GAUGAACGCUGGCGGCGUGCCUAAUACAUGCAAGUCGAACGCGAGCACUUGUGCUCGAGUGGCGAACGGGUGAGUAAUACAUAAGUAACCUGCCCUAGACAGGGGGAUAACUAUUGGAAACGAUAGCUAAGACCGCAUAGGUACGGACACUGCAUGGUGACCGUAUUAAAAGUGCCUCAAAGCACUGGUAGAGGAUGGACUUAUGGCGCAUUAGCUGGUUGGCGGGGUAACGGCCCACCAAGGCGACGAUGCGUAGCCGACCUGAGAGGGUGACCGGCCACACUGGGACUGAGACACGGCCCAGACUCCUACGGGAGGCAGCAGUAGGGAAUUUUCGGCAAUGGGGGAAACCCUGACCGAGCAACGCCGCGUGAAGGAAGAAGGUUUUCGGAUUGUAAACUUCUGUUAUAAAGGAAGAACGGCGGCUACAGGAAAUGGUAGCCGAGUGGCGGUACUUUAUUAGAAAGCCACGGCUAACUACGUGCCAGCAGCCGCGGUAAUACGUAGGUGGCAAGCGUUAUCCGGAAUUAUUGGGCGUAAAGAGGGAGCAGGCGGCAGCAAGGGUCUGUGGUGAAAGCCUGAAGCUUAACUUCAGUAAGCCAUAGAAACCAGGCAGCUAGAGUGCAGGAGAGGAUCGUGGAAUUCCAUGUGUAGCGGUGAAAUGCGUAGAUAUAUGGAGGAACACCAGUGGCGAAGGCGACGAUCUGGCCUGCAA
rnacentral:rRNA from 1 species